rnacentral:rRNA from 1 species
CCUACGGGGGGCUGCAGUGGGGAAUAUUGCACAAUGGGCGCAAGCCUGAUGCAGCCAUGCCGCGUGUGUGAAGAAGGCCUUCGGGUUGUAAAGCACUUUCAGCGGGGAGGAAGGCGUUAAGGUUAAUAACCUUGGCGAUUGACGUUACCCGCAGAAGAAGCACCGGCUAACUCCGUGCCAGCAGCCGCGGUAAUACGGAGGGUGCAAGCGUUAAUCGGAAUUACUGGGCGUAAAGCGCACGCAGGCGGUCUGUCAAAUCGGAUGUGAAAUCCCCGGGCUCAACCUGGGAACUGCAUUCGAAACUGGCAGGCUAGAGUCUUGUAGAGGGGGGUAGAAUUCCAGGUGUAGCGGUGAAAUGCGUAGAGAUCUGGAGGAAUACCGGUGGCGAAGGCGGCCCCCUGGACAAAGACUGACGCUCAGGUGCGAAAGCGUGGGGAGCAAACAGGAUUAGAUACCCGAGUAGUC